rnacentral:rRNA from 1 species
UACGGGGGGGGUAAGCGUUGUUCGGAAUUACUGGGCGUAAAGGGCUCGUAGGCGGCCAACUAAGUCAUACGUGAAAUCCCUCAGCUUAACUGGGGAACUGCGUGUGAUACUGGAUGGCUUGGAUUUGGGAGAGGGAUGCGGAAUUCCAGGUGUAGCGGUGAAAUGCGUAGAUAUCUGGAGGAACACCGGUGGCGAAGGCGGCUUCCUGGACCAAUAUUGACGCUGAGGAGCGAAAGCCAGGGGAGCAAACGGG